rnacentral:lncRNA from 1 species
CAACACAUUUUUAUUCCAUUCCAGACAAAGGACACCACACCCCUGGCAUUCAAAACACACUUUUUAUCAUUCCUCCUCAGAUUCAGACUCCGCACUCUGGAUCCAAGUGAUGAAAGGUUGGGCAUUCUUCCAGAUCUGAGACUUCUUGUUGGCUCCUGACACCCCUUCUUCAUACCACUGCACUAUGUACUCCUCCUCCAACACAUCUCCAUCAUACAGACCCUUCAAAACCAAUGCCACUUCUUUCAAUGCACUUGGCCUCGACUUACCACAGAAUGCCUCAAUAGCACGAAGCAACAGCAACUGCGAC